rnacentral:rRNA from 1 species
UACAGAGGGUGCGAGCGUUAAUCGGAGUUACUGGGCGUAAAGGGCGCGUAGGCGGUUUGUUAAGUCAGUUGUGAAAGCCCAGGGCUCAACCUUGGAACUGCAAUUGAUACUGGCCGGCUAGAGUCGAAGAGAGGGAAGCGGAAUUUCCGGUGUAGCGGUGAAAUGCGUAGAUAUCGGAAGGAACACCCGUGGCGAAGGCGGCUUCCUGGCUUCAGACUGACGCUGAGGCGCGAAAGCGUGGGGAGCGAACAGG